ensembl:lncRNA
GUUUUUGGUUGCGCUUUGAUGAGUGUGCAUGAGAACGUGUGAGGAGGAACCGUUUUAAAACCCUGCAUGCCGAUUAGUGCGUGUUUACCUUUCUAUUUUAGUAUCAUACCAAAAACCUAGAGAAGUGUUCUAUAUUUGUACAUUUAUUUUUUUCUUUCCUUUUUUUUUCCGUCUUCUUUCUUUCGUCGUUGUCAUACGAGUCCGAGGGAGAAGAAUGCUGAAAGCGCUAAGGCGUCUGUGCCGUGCCUAAAUCCAGACUAGCUAUCACGCUUGUGUUCGUGUGUAACGUGUUACUGACCUAGCGUAUUUAAAGCAUCUAUGGUGUGUGUGUGUGUGUGUGUGUGUGUGUGUGUGUGUGUGUGUGUGUGUGUGUGUGUGAGGAGCGAACCACUUUUUCUCAGCGGUGAACAGGAAACAGCCGUUCUCAGGGUGUGUGUGGGCAAAAGCGCAGGUUCAGCUCAGGCCUCUUUAACCGAGCCGAUUCAUCACGGCUCACGAUAUCCUCACGAUAUCACGUUAAGAAACUCUUUUAAGUGCGUCUCGUUCAGCCCGAAAAAGGACAAGACGGCCGUCCUCAUGUUAAUCAGAUGGAGUCUGUAAUUUGAAGAUCUCCGUGGUGGUGAUGUCAUGAGCAGAUGGGUAAGCUCUGCUAAAAUUAAAUGCGGAGAGGAGAAUGUAUCAUGAUGUAUCGUUGCAUCGAUUUAUCGGCGUCUACCUACGCAAAAAAAAAAAAAAAAAAAAACGACAAGAAAAAGUGAGUCACUGGAAUUUCAUUUUGUCGGCUGCCAAAGAUCUGAGAGACGCCUCGGCUCGGUUCUCGAAUGAUUAUUUCCCGCCGCUCCGGGGCUUCGACUGCGGCGUGUUGGGGUACCGCAGCUGUGCUGUGGCGUUAUUAUUCCGGGUUAACACCAGUAGAUCUCUCGUAUAUAAAUGCACCUGUUUUCACUGUGAAGAGCGAAUGUACUUUAACCCGAGGUCUUUCUAUCAGACCUGCUAUAAGCUGCUAUGAGACGUGUAAGGAACAUUCCACUGGGGAGUCGAAAAAAAAAAAAAAAAACACGGCCAAAAUGUC